AUGGUGCCGCACUCUGUGAAGGCUCUGCGUGGAGCCCUCUUUCUCCCGGCAAUCAGGAGCUGUGGUCUUGCUAGAACGCACAGUAAAGAGCACGAGAAACUGCUAAGUAGAAGGUCUGUCCAUGCAGCCCUGCUCCUGGGGGGAGAGGGAAAUGGUGGGAAUGAAGAAAGAGUCAGCUGAUGAAGAACUACUUCUUCUGAAAUCAACAUUCAAAAAGCAAAUCUGACAUCUGGCAAUCUUCAUGUAUCCAUUCUGUUCGAAGAGGAAAACAGUUUGAAAUCCAUCCUCAAAGAUGGCAUUGGGUAGGAAGUCAAACUAGUAUUCAUAACAAAUAUUAUCAAAAUGUUGCUUGCUGAGGAGGCUGAUAAAUGUUGGUAAGAAGAAAUGUGAACACUAAAAUUGUAGGCUUUGCAUAAGUCAUCAUUUAAUAACUACCUUAUCUACCUAAUAACUACCUUAUUU
rnacentral:lncRNA from 1 species